ACAAUGGUACUCCCGCCCAGCCACAACUCACGUAAUGGGGGCGGCUCCGUCAGACCGGCGGAGGGGUGAAACUCCCGUGA
rnacentral:ncRNA from 1 species